rnacentral:rRNA from 1 species
CAAGACCUUGCGCUCUUGGAGCGGCUGAUGUCUGAUUAGCUAGUUGGUGAGGUAAAGGCUUACCAAGGCGACGAUCAGUAGCUGGUCUGAGAGGACGACCAGCCACACUGGGACUGAGACACGGCCCAGACUCCUACGGGAGGCAGCAGUGGGGAAUUUUGGACAAUGGGGGAAACCCUGAUCCAGCCAUGCCGCGUGAGUGAAGAAGGCCUUCGGGUUGUAAAGCUCUUUCAGCCGGAACGAAACGGUCACGGCUAAUACCUGUGACUACUGACGGUACCGGAAGAAGAAGCACCGGCUAACUACGUGCCAGCAGCCGCGGUAAUACGUAGGGUGCAAGCGUUAAUCGGAAUUACUGGGCGUAAAGCGUGCGCAGGCGGUUUUGUAAGUCAGAUGUGAAAUCCCCGGGCUUAACCUGGGAACUG